UACGUAGGGGGCAAGCGUUGUCCGGAAUCAUUGGGCGUAAAGAGCGUGUAGGCGGCUUGGUAAGUCCGCUGUGAAAGUCCAGGGCUCAACCCUGGAAUGCCGGUGGAAACUGUCAGGCUCGAGUCCGGAAGAGGCGAGUGGAAUUCCUGGUGUAGCGGUGGAAUGCGCAGAUAUCAGGAGGAACACCAAUAGCGAAGGCAGCUCGCUGGGACGGUACUGACGCUAAGGCGCGAAAGCGUGGGGAGCGAACAGGA
rnacentral:rRNA from 1 species